rnacentral:rRNA from 1 species
UACAGAGGGUGCAAGCGUUAAUCGGAAUUACUGGGCGUAAAGCGUGCGUAGUCGGUUAUUUAAGUCGGAUGUGAAAGCCCUCGGCUCAACUGAGGAAGUGCACCCGAAACUGGCGAGCUUGAGUACGAAAGAGGAUCGCGGAAUUCCCGGUGUAGAGGUGAAAUUCGUAGAUAUCGGGAGGAACACCGGUGGCGAAGGCGGCGAUCUGGGUCGAUACUGACGCUGAGGUGCGAAAGCGUGGGGAGCAAACAGG